GUGGACCGCAGAGACGAAUGCAAAUGAACCUCGACAUACAUGGAAGUGAACCACAUUACUAUUUUUUGUUUCGCUAAUUUUUUUCACACUUCCAUGCUUUGUGCAAGUGAACAACAUCACUCUCAUAAGUGAACCUCAUCCAAGGACCAAACGCACUGCAUGUGUUGAUGUAAUCGACUGAACACACGAAACAAAUUGCACUUGAUACAUAGGGGUAACGAGCUGCUACACAAAUUGGAGUGAUCUACUUUUUCCAAUCAUCUCAAAAACAAAACAAAUUGCAUUCAAUAAAGAAGUGAACCUCCCGUGGGGAUUUUUUUUUCUCUUUUUCUACAAGGUGAACCACUAAGGGGCUGCACUUUUUUUAGAACUCCCAAUAGGGUCCAGCGAGCUGCACAAUUAUGUACAGUCAGCUGCGCAUCUUGUUCAUUCCCGAGCUGCAAAAUUAUGUAUAGUGAGCUGCACAUCUAGCAGAGUAUGUGAGCAUCACAUCUAAGGAUGCACCAACCGACCAAAAAAAUGCGAACAGAGUUGCAAGAAUCACUGCCCGUAGUUCUCCUCUCAAGCAAAAAAUCCUGCCGACGAGAUGCACGGCUGGAGGCACAUGGGCGUGGAUCCCUGAUGCGGAACUGAGCUGCACGCUCCUCGAAUCAAAACCGCACGCUGCCGCUGGCGAUGAGCUGCACAGAACCUUUCAAGAACAAUGUGAACUUCUCUUCUUGAGUAAAACUGCAGCCGAUGCAAAAAAAUUCAAACAAAACACAUGUGGGUUGCACCGCGGUCAUCGAUGGUUCCGAAAAGAGAAAAAUUGUAGCGUGACUCCCCGUACUCUCAUCGCCGGCGAGGGAAGGAGGAGCUUGGGGGAGGCAGCCAUGGCCCCGAUCUGGACGAGGACAUGGUGUCGCGACAGCCAUGGCCUCCAGGGGGAGAUGCAGCUCGAUGAGAAAGGGAUUGGGGCGCAGUCGUUUUUUCUCCCCAUGGUCGACGCGGCGGCCCCGGUGCCCACGGGCGAGACGGAAGACGGAUCCGGAAAGGAGCACGAGGCAGACCACCGGGGCACGCCAGAGCCGGGAGGGGGUGGGGCACCGGGGUGAGGGGUGAGGGGCGACUCACCUCGCGCGCGUCGCCGGUCAGGCACGGGAGGAGGAUCCUGCCGGCUCAGGCGGUCGCAGCCGUGGUAGGUGGUCGGACGGGGGUGGGAGGAAGGAGGUGGAGGAGCAUCCCGCCGGAUCUGCCACGGCCCGAUAGAUUCAUCGCUGGGUAGGGGAAGGACAGGAGGUGGAGGGUGGCCGAGAGGCAUGGGUGGUUGGUGGGGGAGGAAGAGGAAGGUGGGCGGCGGGAAGGUGUUCUCCGGCGAGAGGGAGGUGGGCACGGGGGACGCC
rnacentral:rRNA from 1 species